ensembl:snoRNA Snora52 small nucleolar RNA SNORA52
UGGUCCAUCCUAAUCCCUGCUGGUCAGUCAAUGAUCUGCCAGGCUUCGCUUGUGGACCAGAGCAUCUUAGAAGCCCUGACAGUGAGCAAAGCCUUUUUUAGGCUUGUGCCAGCAGCACUUCUGAACACAC